rnacentral:rRNA from 1 species
GUCUACGGCCAUACCACCCUGAACGUGCCAGAUCUCGUCUGAUCUCAGAAGCUAAGCAGGGUCGGGCUUGGUUAGUACUUGGAUGGGAAAGUCCUCACUUUGAUU